rnacentral:rRNA from 1 species
GACGAACGCUGGCGGCGUGCUUAACACAUGCAAGUCGAACGGAAAGGCCUGCUUUCCCUUGUGGAUUGCGGGUACUCGAGUGGCGAACGGGUGAGUAACACGUGAGUGAUCUGCCCCCAACUUGGGUAUAAGCCUGGGAAACUGGGUCUAAUUCCCGAUAGGACUGCAGGGUGGUGCCUGUGGUGGAAAACGAUUUUCUAGUGGUUGGGGAUGAGCUCGCGGCCUAUGAGCUUGUUGGUGGGGUAAUGGCCUACCAAGGCGGCGACGGGUAGCCAGCCUGAGGAGCCGUAGCUGGUCAGAGGGGCUGAUAAACGACACAGAGACUGAGGGAAGGCAGCAGCUGGUACGAGUGGAAGAUGUGGGGAAGCCUGAUGCAGCGACGCCGCGUGGGUGAUGACGGGCUUCGGGUGGGAAGCAGGUUUCGGCCUCGAGGAAGCCACCUGGUUGGGAGGGUGGUGACGGUAGUGGUAGAAGAAGCACCGGCUAACUACGUG